rnacentral:rRNA from 1 species
CAUGCAAGUCGAGCGAAGCACUUUGGAAAGAUUCUUCGGAUGAUUUCCUUUGUGACUGAGCGGCGGACGGGUGAGUAACGCGUGGGUAACCUGCCUCAUACAGGGGGAUAACAGUUAGAAAUGACUGCUAAUACCGCAUAAGACCACGGUACCGCAUGGUACAGUGGUAAAAACUCCGGUGGUAUGAGAUGGACCCGCGUCUGAUUAGGUAGUUGGUGGGGUAACGGCCUACCAAGCCGACGAUCAGUAGCCGACCUGAGAGGGUGACCGGCCACAUUGGGACUGAGACACGGCCCAGACUCCUACGGGAGGCAGCAGUGGGGAAUAUUGCACAAUGGAGGAAACUCUGAUGCAGCGACGCCGCGUGAAGGAUGAAGUAUUUCGGUAUGUAAACUUCUAUCAGCAGGGAAGAAAAUGACGGUACCUGACUAAGAAGCCCCGGCUAACUACGUGCCAGCAGCCGCGGUAAUACGUAGGGGGCAAGCGUUAUUCGGAUUUACUGGGUGUAAAGGGAGCGUAGACGGCACGGCAAGCCAGAUGUGAAAGCCCGGGGCUCAACCCCGGGACUGCAUUUGGAACUGCUGAGCUAGAGUGUCGGAGAGGCAAGUGGAAUUCCUAGUGUAGCGGUGAAAUGCGUAUAUAUUAGGAGGAACACCAGUGGCGAAGGCGG